AAAGGGAGACCUAAUUCAGGUAAAAGACGAAAAAAAAGUAGUCGCUACCAAGAAUCAAUCCCAAAAGGUCGGAGCGAGGCGAAAUUGGCUUUCAAACUAGGUUCUGGGUUCAAACAAGACCUGAAUCAGGAACAAGGGCUAUUAGCUCAGGUGGUUAGAGCGAACCCCUGAUAAGGGUGAGGUCCCUGGUUCGAGUCCAGGAUGGCCCACCUGCACAGGUGGCAAAAACAAGAGAAGCGAGGAAUCAGCACCUUAUCUUACUUAUAUAGUAAGAGAGAAUGCUGGCUCUGAGUAAAGAGUCCAGAGGAACCUUGAAAACUGCAUAGAGCUAGGUGAAAAAGCCAAAAAAGAAGACCGCAAG
rnacentral:tRNA from 1 species